rnacentral:rRNA from 1 species
UGGGGAAUUUUGCACAAUGGGGGAAACCCUGAUGCAGCGACGCCGCGUGAUUUAGAAGGCCUUCGGGUUGUAAAAAUCUUUUCUAUGGGAAGAAAAUGACAGUACCAUAGGAAUAAGGACCGGCUAAUUACGUGCCAGCAGCCGCGGUAAUACGUAAGGUCCGAGCGUUGUCCGGAAUCAUUGGGCGUAAAGGGUACGUAGGCGGGUAAGCAAGUUAGAAGUGAAAUCCUGUAGCUCAACUACAGUAAGCUUUUAAAACUGCUCAUCUUGGGAGAUGGAAGGGAAAGUGGAAUUCCGAGUGUAGCGGUGAAAUGCGCAGAUAUUAGGAGGAAUACCGGUGGCGAAGGCGACUAUCUGGACGAACACUGACGCUGAGGCGCGAAAGCCAGGGGAGCGAACGGG